rnacentral:rRNA from 1 species
UACUCCUACGGGAGGCAGCAGUAGGGAAUCUUCCACAAUGGACGCAAGUCUGAUGGAGCAACGCCGCGUGAGUGAAGAAGGCUUUCGGGUCGUAAAACUCUGUUGUUGGAGAAGAAUGGUCGGCAGAGUAACUGUUGUCGGCGUGACGGUAUCCAACCAGAAAGCCACGGCUAACUACGUGCCAGCAGCCGCGGUAAUACGUAGGUGGCAAGCGUUAUCCGGAUUUAUUGGGCGUAAAGCGAGCGCAGGCGGUUUUUUAAGUCUGAUGUGAAAGCCCUCGGCUUAACCGAGGAAGUGCAUCGGAAACUGGGAAACUUGAGUGCAGAAGAGAACAGUGGAACUCCAUGUGUAGCGGUGAAAUGCGUAGAUAUAUGGAAGAACACCAGUGGCGAAGGCGGCUGUCUGGUCUGUAACUGACGCUGAGGCUCGAAAGCAUGGGUAGCGAACAGGAUUAGAUACCCUGGUAGUCCAUGCCGUAAACGAUGAAUGCUAGGUGUUGGAGGGUUUCCGCCCUUCAGUGCCGCAGCUAACGCAUUAAGCAUUCCGCCUGGGGAGUACGACCGCAAGGUUGAAACUCAAAGGAAUUGACGGA